AAGAUAUUAUUGCAUUGCAUGUAGUAACGGAUGCGAUCAUACCAUCACUAAUGCACUGGAUCCCAUCAGAACUCCACAGUUAAGCGCGCUUGGGUGAGAGUAGUACUAGAAUGGGUGACCUCCCGGAAAGUCCUUGUGUUCCAUCCCUCUUUUUUCGGUUUUUCUCUUUUUUUUUUGUUAAAAAUGUAUGACUCUAUAAAUUUUAGACCGUGAGGCCAAACUUGGCAUGUGAUACCUUUUCGGAAAGCCCAAAGAGAACUCUCCGAUGAAUGAGGAAGGACAAUGGAAUUUUUCUAUUGUUUUUUUUUCUACUCAAAAUUUUGACCUUAAUGUACUUUUUCUGGCCUUUUCAUGAUCUAUGCUAUAUUACGGGGCAAAAAGCAUACGUUCUGACAUUGUUUUCGAAUAUUUUGCAUGUAUCAAAGCUCUUAUAAACAAGAUAGGGUAUUCUUACAUAGUUGGUGGGACCCACGACAAAUGGAUCAUAAAGUCUUCAAAAAAGAAUAGAUACGAUUGCAUUGCAUGUAGUAACAGAUGCGAUCAUACCAGCACUAAUGCACCGGAUCCCAUCAAAACUCUGCAGUUAAGCGUGAUUGGGCGAGAGUAGUACUAGGAUGGUUGACCUCAUGGAAAGUCCUUGUGUUGCAUUCUUCUUUUUUUCGGUUUUUCUCUUUUUUUUUUGUUAAGAAUGUAUGAUUCUAUAAGUUUUAGACCGUGAGGCCAAACUUGGCAUGUGAUACCUUUUCGGAAAGCCCAAAGAGAACUCUCCGAUGAAUGAGGAAGGACAAUGGAAUUUUUCUAUUGUUUUUUUUUCUACUCAAAAUUUUGACCUUAAUGUACUUUUUCUGGCCUUUUCAUGAUCUAUGCUAUAUUACGGGGCAAAAAGCAUACGUUCUGACAUUGUUUUCGAAUAUUUUGCAUGUAUCAAAGCUCUUACAAACAAGAUAGGGUAUUCCUACAUAGCUGGUGAGACCCACGGCAAAUGGAUCAUAAAGUCUUCAAAAAAAAUAUAUACGAUUGCAUUGCAUGUAGUAACGGAUGUGAUCAUACCCGCACUAAUGCAC
rnacentral:sRNA from 1 species